AGAGGGGGCCAGCGUUAUUCGGAAUUAUUGGGCGUAAAGAGCGUGUAGGCGGCUAGGUAGGUCCGCUGUUAAAACUCGAGGCUUAACCUCGAGAGGUCGGUGGAAACCCUCUAGCUAGAGUCCGGAAGAGGAGAGUGGAAUUCCUGGUGUAGCGGUGAAAUGCGCAGAUAUCAGGAAGAACACCCGUGGCGAAGGCGGCUCUCUGGGACGGUACUGACGCUGAGACGCGAAAGCGUGGGGAGCGAACAGGAUUAGAUACCCUGGUAGUCCACGCCGUAAACGAUGGGUGCUAGGUGUGGGCGGUGUCGACUCCGUCCGUGCCGAAGCUAACGCAUUAAGCACCCCGCCUGGGGAGUACGGCCGCAAGGCUA
rnacentral:rRNA from 1 species